rnacentral:rRNA from 1 species
AACGCUGGCGGCGCGCUUAACACAUGCAAGUCGAGCGAGAACCAGGGCUUCGGCCCUGGGGACAGCGGCGAACGGGUGAGUAACACGUGGGUAAUCUGCCCUCGGUUCUGGGAUAGCCCGGGGAAACCCGGAUUAAUACCGGAUAGCCUCUCGAGCCCUCGGGCUCGUGAGAAAAGGUAGCUUCGGCCUCCGACCGAGGAGGAGCCUGCGGCGGAUUAGCUUGUUGGCGGGGUAACGGCCCACCAAGGCGACGAUCCGUAGCUGGUCUGAGAGGACGAUCAGCCACACUAGGACUAAGACACGGCCCAGAAUCCUGCGGGAGGCAGCAGUGGGGAAUCUUGCGCAAUGGGCGAAAGCCUGACGCAGGGACGCCGCGUGAGGGAAGAAGGCCUUCGGGUUGUAAACCUCUUUCAGGAGGGACGAAGCCACUCGGGUUAAUAGCCCAGAGGGUGACGGUACCUCCAGAAGAAGCCCCGGCUAACUACGUGCCAGCCGCCGCCGUAACAC